CCCUUAGAUGUUCUGGGCCGCACGCGCGCUACACUGAUGCAUGCAACGAGUUCUAUCCUUGGCCGGAAGGCCUGGGUAAUCUGUGAACGUGCAUCGUGAUAGGGAUAGAUUAUUGCAAUUAUUAAUCUUGAACGAGGAAUUCCUAGUAAACGCAAGUCAUCAGCUUGCAUUGAUUACGUCCCUGCCCUUUGUACACACCGCCCGUCGCACCUACCGAUCGAAGGUAAUGAUGAGCCCUCAGGAUUGUGGCCUCGUCGCGUCAGCGUCUUGGCUGCGAGAAUCUGUGCAAAUCCCUACCUUUAGAGGAAGGUGAAGUCGUANCA
rnacentral:rRNA from 1 species